AUUGAACGCUGGCGGCAGGCCUAACACAUGCCAGUCGAGCGGAUGAAGGGAGCUUGCUCCUGGAUUCAGCGGCGGACGGGUGAGUAAUGCCUAGGAAUCUGCCUGGUAGUGGGGGAUAACGUCCGGAAACGGGCGCUAAUACCGCAUACGUCCUGAGGGAGAAAGUGGGGGAUCUUCGGACCUCACGCUAUCAGAUGAGCCUAGGUCGGAUUAGCUAGUUGGUGGGGUAAAGGCCAACCAAGGCGACGAUCCGUAACUGGUCUGAGAGGAUGAUCAGUCACACUGGAACUGAGACACGGUCCAGACUCCUACGGGAGGCAGCAGUGGGGAAUAUUGGACAAUGGGCGAAAGCCUGAUCCAGCCAUGCCGCGUGUGUGAAGAAGGUCUUCGGAUUGUAAAGCACUUUAAGUUGGGAGGAAGGGCAGUAAGUUAAUACCUUGCUGUUUUGACGUUACCAACAGAAUAAGCACCGGCUAACUUCGUG
rnacentral:rRNA from 1 species